rnacentral:miRNA from 1 species
UACCUCAUUGAUUGGAAGGGAUCACUUCUGAUCAAUGAGAUGUAAAUACCUCAUUGAGCGGAAGGGAUUCAUUCCAGUCAAUGAGGUGCAAAUACCUCAUCAAUCAGAAGGAAUCAUUUCCAAUCAAUGAGGUA